CUAAGUUUAAUGGCGACCGGCGCACGGGUGAGUAACACGUAUCCAACCUGCCGAUGACUCGGGGAUAGCCUUUCGAAAGAAAGAUUAAUACCCGAUGGCAUAGUUCUUCCGCAUGGUAGAACUAUUAAAGAAUUUCGGUCAUCGAUGGGGAUGCGUUCCAUUAGGUUGUUGGCGGGGUAACGGCCCACCAAGCCUUCGAUGGAUAGGGGUUCUGAGAGGAAGGUCCCCCACAUUGGAACUGAGACACGGUCCAA
rnacentral:rRNA from 1 species